GUGUCUGCCGGAGAUGGCAUUUCUGCCUAACCGCCGCUGCUCGUGUGCGGCUGAUGAUGCCUACUGGGCC
rnacentral:ncRNA from 2 species